UAGUCGAAAGGGAAACAGCCCAGACCACCAGUUAAGGUCCCCAAAUAUAUGUUAAGUGGAAAAGGAUGUGGGGUUGCUUAGACAACCAGGAUGUUGGCUUAGAAGCAGCCACCAUUGAAAGAGUGCGUAAUAGCUCACUGGUCGAGUGACCCCGCGCCGAAAAUGUACCGGGGCUAAACAUAUUACCGAAACUGUGGAUGAACCUCUUUAGAGGUUCGUGGUAGGAGAGCGUUCUAAGGGCGGUGAAGUCAGACCGGAAGGACUGGUGGAGCGCUUAGAAGUGAGAAUGCCGGUAUGAGUAGCGAAAGAAGGGUGAGAAUCCCUUCCACCGAAUAUCUAAGGUUUCCUGAGGAAGGCUCGUCCGCUCAGGGUUAGUCGGGACCUAAGCCGAGGCCGAUAGGCGUAGGCGAUGGACAACAGGUAGAGAUUCCUGUACCAGUGCUAAUUGUUUAACCGAUGGGGUGACACAGAAGGAUAGGGAAUCGCACGAAUGGAAAUGUGCGUCCAAGCAGUGAGUGUGAG
rnacentral:rRNA from 1 species